CUGGUUGAUCCUGCCAGUAGUCAUAUGCUUGUCUCAAAGAUUAAUCCAUGCAUGUGUAAGUAUAAGUAUUGUACAGCGAAACUGCGAAUGGCUCAUUAAAUCAGUUAUAAUUUAUUUGAUAAUCGAAAGUUACAUGGAUAACCGUGACAAAUUACAGCUAAUACAUGCAGUCAGACCUGGUUCAAGGGUCGUAAUUAUUAGUAUUAAACCAUUUCCGCAAGGAAUGUGAUGAAUCAUAAUAAUCGAACGAAUCGCCUGGUGUGCGAUAAAUCAUUCAAGUUUCUGCCCUAUCAGCUUUGGAUGGUAGUGUAUUGGACUACCAUGGCAGUCACGGGUAACGGAGAAUUAGGGUUCGAUUCCGGAGAGGGAGCCUGAGAAACGGCUACCACAUCUACGGAAGGCAGCAGGAGCGAAAAUUGCCCAAUCCUGACACAGGGAGGCAGUGACAAGAAAUAUCAACUCUUGGAUUUCUAAGAAGUGAAAUGAGGAUAAUUUACAACCCUUACCGAAAGCAAUUGGAGGGCAAGUCUGGU
rnacentral:rRNA from 1 species